UCUCUUCUCUCUUCUCACUUCUCACUAUCUCCAUGACGACGUUCUCUUCUCUCCCAAAUAGCGCUCACUCCGACAACGCUCCCUCCAGACGACGGCCUCUUCCUCCCGAUGGCAUUCUCUCCGCUCACUCUCGUGACCUCUGUCUGCCUGAAUUCCGCUCUCUCCCGACGACCGAUUGGGCUCGGCUUUCUCCGUCCCUCCCGACUGGCGGCCGAGAAGCAAUGGCUCUGCUCUCUCGUCUAAUCUUCCAUUGACGACUCGCUUCCACUUUCCGCUCUGCUCAAAGCCGUCUCUCCUGAGAAGCCCUAAAUCUGCGACGACAAGUCCCGCUUUCCAGGUUUUUUUUUUACUGGUUUUUAUAUCCGCAUAUAUGUUUUGGGUGAAGCUCGCCUGCUGAUUGUCAAAAUUUAUUGUUUUGCCACAAUGUGUAGGGGUGGUUCUCUUCACUGGUCCUGUUCGAUCCUCUCAGCUCAGCAUGAUAACACAAUGGCUUCUCUGGCAACAGCCAAAGCUGCGACUCAAAUGCAUCAGUCAUGGCAGUUGCAUCAAAUUGGGGGUGUUAAAGAAGUUUGAGAGGCCUCCGUCCGCAAAUUUGGAGAGCCCACCUACUAUAGAAUGUGUAAAAAGACAGGAGAAUGAAUGCAUGUAAUUUGAAAGAGAUGACGAGUAUUCUAACGAGUUACUCAUUAGCCAUGUUUAUGGCCUACCAGAAUAUUUCUUGCACACAUGGGAAAACAAACGAACCAAUUGCUGCCAUCUCCGUGUCCUAUGUAUCCUCUGAAAUGUGGCUUCUGUUUCUUCAAUGUAAAAAGGAUUGUUGCAUAGAAGAUGUGUAUCUAUGGGUACAAAUUAGAGUAUGUACCGAUUGCACUGGCAGGUGAGAUUCCUUGUGAGAAUUCUCUGCUGAGACAAAUAACUAGUCUUCUCGAAAGAUUGCCAGCUAUUGAAUCAGGGAAAUUUUAGGACGACUUUUUGAUGGCAAGUAUUCUGUUUAGUUUGACAUGCCCUGAAGUUGAGGUUUCGUUUUUUCCUUUUUAAAUUUCUUUUUAUACAUAAGUCGCUGAAUAAUUUUGAUGUUCACUUUCGAGGAGUGCAAUGAUACAUUGUUGAUUACUUACCUGGCCAUGCUCGCCAAUUGCUCAAGGUAUGAACAAACUUUUGAAUUAUUUACUUUUGACAUAUUUUGAGUAUGUCCAGGAGUCAUGAUUUAGGAUGAAAAUAUUGCUCUGGACCAUCUUUUGGGUUAUAAUGCUUGAGGAUUGUGUAUAUAAAUCAAACCACACCAGUCAUGUGCCUGAAAGCUUAUCCAAUGAUGCGAGUUAUUAGCUGAAUCUGGAAGAAUAUAUACUAUAAGUUGAAAUUUUCAUCGGGAACAAUUUGACUGAGA